AGAAUCAACGCUGGCGGCGUGCCUAACACAUGCAAGUCGAGCGCGAAAGGGGAGCAAUCCCCAAGUAGAGCGGCGAACGGGUGAGUAACGCGUGGGUAAUCUACCUCCGAGUGGGGAAUAACAGCGGGAAACUGCUGCUAAUACCGCAUGACAUCGUACGAGCCUUCGGGCCUGACGAUCAAAGCCGGGACCGCAAGGCCUGGCGCUUGGAGACGAGCCCGCGUCCGAUUAGCUAGUUGGCGGGGUAAUGGCCCACCAAGGCUCCGAUCGGUA
rnacentral:rRNA from 1 species